UACGGAGGGUGCAAGCGUUGUCCGGAAUCACUGGGCGUAAAGGGCGCGUAGGUGGCCUGUGGAAGUCUGCGGUGAAAGCCCGGCGCUCAACGCCGGGUCGGCCGUGGAUACUCUCGGGCUCGAGCUUACUAGAGGCAGAUGGAAUUCCGGGUGUAGCGGUGGAAUGCGUAGAGAUCCGGAAGAACACCGGUGGCGAAGGCGGCCUGCUGGGCAGUAGCUGACGCUGAUGCGCGACAGCGUGGGGAGCAAACAGG
rnacentral:rRNA from 1 species